UCCCUGGUGGUUCAGUGGUUAGGACUCUGUGCUUCCACUGCCAAGGGCAUGGGUUCAAUUCCCACUCAGGGAA